rnacentral:rRNA from 1 species
UCUUCCCAUUCCGAACAGAGCCGUUAAGCCUGCCCGCGCCGAUGGUACUGCAAUGCAAUGCGGGAGAGUAGGUCGCCGCCUUUU